rnacentral:rRNA from 1 species
CCUACGGGUGACAGCAGUGGGGAAUAUUGGGCAAUGGGCGCAAGCCUGACCCAGCAACGCCGCGUGAAGGAAGAAGGCUUUCGGGUUGUAAACUUCUUUUGUCAGGGACGAAGCCAGUGACGGUACCUUACGAAUCCGCCACGGCUAACUACGUGGCAGCAGCCGCAGUACUAAGGAGGUAGCAAGCGUUAUCCGGAUUUAAUGGGUGUAAAGUGCGUGUAGGCGGGGAGGCAAGUCAAAUGUGAAAACCACGGGCUCAACCUGGGGCCUGCAUUUGAAACUGUGUUUCUUGAGUGCUGGAGAGGCAAGCGGAAGUCCGUGUGUAGCGGUGAAAUGCGUAGAUAUACGGAGGAACACCAGUGGCGAAGGCGGAUUGCUGGACAGUAACUGACGCUGAGGCGCGAAAGCGUGGGGAGCAAACAGGAUUAGAUACCCGAGUAGUC